UACGUAGGGUGCAAGCGUUGUCCGGAAUUAUUGGGCGUAAAGAGCUCGUAGGCGGUUCGUCGCGUCGGCUGUGAAAUCCCGGAGCUCAACUCCGGGUCUGCAGUCGAUACGGGCGGACUCGAGUUCGGCAGGGGAGACUGGAAUUCCUGGUGUAGCGGUGAAAUGCGCAGAUAUCAGGAGGAACACCGGUGGCGAAGGCGGGUCUCUGGGCCGAUGACUGACGCUGAGGAGCGAAAGCGUGGGUAGCAAACAGG
rnacentral:rRNA from 1 species